rnacentral:sRNA from 1 species
UGAAAUCGGUAAUGGUCCCACGAUGUCC